AUCCCCUCGGUGUUCGGCACGAGAGAAUUUGAGUCUCUAAGAGGAUUAUUUCCAGAGGAUA
rnacentral:tRNA from 1 species